ensembl:lncRNA
AGGUUAGGUGGCACUGGGUCUGCAAAGGAAGUUGCGUUUGGGAAGGGACUUGGAUUUUUUUUAAUACAAGACACAUGCACAGAGUGUUUGUUUGGAGUAGUAAGAGAGCUGGAAAUGGAUCCUUGAAAUGCAGGGCAUGGAAACAACGGGUUUGCAGAUCUCAGCAGAGUCCUCGGUGGUGUUGGUAACUUCGUGCUGAUAACCUGGUGGGACUGUGCCCAAAUGCCAUGGGUCUGAACAACUGCCUGUUGAAAAUAGGUGUGACCCUACUGAGAUGAGGGAUGGCAGACGUGACUUGGAGGGAGAUGUCUUUAAAGCAGAACUAAGAGGAGUGCCUCAACAAAUGACCAUUGGGAUUGACACAAAUGCAUAACGAACAGUCGUGCUCAUCCAGAAGCAAUGCUGGAAACACAUUUUGCUCAACUAUGAAGCAAAACCCAAGCAACUUCCUUGAUGUUGGUGCAAUCUUGCAGGGCAGUUUGGAGUGUGAAUUCCUCACAAAAAUAUAUAGGGCUCUUAACUGCUGAGAUUCCUCCUUCUCUCACUCCCUUUUUUUCCCCCCACAAUGUUUUAAAUGCACAUAGGGUCUGGGGAGAGGAAAGGAACAGUGUGCCUUUGAAAUGUUGUUUGCUGAAGACAGUAUAUAGAAUCUUGGUUAUUAACAGCCUCUCACAAGACAGUUAUUUUUGGAGUGGCCUCUGAGGAGGCAACCUCUUGGAAUCGAACUCAUUUAUUCUGCGUUUCACUGUCCUGCCAUUUCCUGCAGAGAGAGGGGAAAAGUGAAACCACAUGUUUUGAGGAGCGAGCGUAGGAAACCCCACUGAAGACAAAUGACUGCUCCUCUCCCCUGGCAAUUAGUCAAAGCCGGGCUGCGUGCCAGCCCAGGUGUUCCCGACUGUGUAUAAAUUUGCCAAAGAACAAUGAAAAUAGCAUCUGAUUGUGCUGACAGAUUCUUCUGGUAAUUUCCUGUUGUUUGGCAUCUUCAGGUUACUUUCCCACAAUUAUGGAUCCUGAUGAAGUCCGGGGCCUUCAAAUCCACUUUUUAACUGGAAACAAAGAUAUUGUGUGUGUAUGUGUGUGCACACGCAUGCCUAGCCCUGUCCUCUCAACCCCCCCAGUCUUUUCCCCCCCCACUUACCAGAUGUUUUAAUUUAAUUUGCUUUGCAAAAUACAUAUUUUAAUGAGUCUGAAUUAAAAGGAAAAAAAAACUAUUUGCACCUGCAUCAUAUAGAAUUUCUUGGCAGUCCCACCUUGGCUUUUGCCAGGAUUCAUGCUCAUUCUAUCGCUUAAACCUACUACUUGGAAGGCUUUCCUCUUGUGCCUUCCACUAUCUUCUAAAUCAGGGCUGCUCAAGAAACACUCACUAAUGGAACUCAGAGCCCUGAGCUGGCCACGGGAGAGGCAGAGUGAUUUGACAGCUUAGGAUGCUGACAGCAAGGUGCUGUUAAAAGUGAGGGGUGUCUUCAGAUGCCAGCCAUUGUUUCUGGAUCUGGGGGAGCAAUGGCUGUCCCCGAAGAGCUGUGAGUUUUAUCAUCUAGAAGGGGAGAGGAGAAGUAGAAGGGAAGGCAGACUGCAGCAAUUUUAAACCUUCAUGCAAUCCAGUCUGUCAGGAAGCUAUAAAUACUCGUUUGGGUUUUUU